rnacentral:SRP_RNA from 1 species
UUGCGCUAGGCGGGGAGUUAGCGGUUCCCUUUUCCCGAAAACCGCUCACGCGGGGCUGAAUUCCCUCUUUCGGGCAUUUCGCCCGGAUCCAUGGGACAUCCCGGCCGGCCUCCAUGUGACAGACUCUCAUGAACCUCGUCAGGUCCGGAAGGAAGCAGCGAUAAGUGAGCCGGUCUGUGCCGUGGAUGAACCCGGCCAUCGCAUGUCCCGGGAUUCCGGAAGGAGCGCUCAACAGAGGGUGCGCAA